rnacentral:tRNA from 1 species
GGAGAGGUCGCAUAGCGGUUUAGUGCGCCGGUCUUGAAAAUCGGUUGACCCGCAAGGGUCUCGUGGGUUCGAAUCCCACCCUCUCCG